rnacentral:rRNA from 1 species
UACGGAGGGUGCGAGCGUUAAUCGGAAUUACUGGGCGUAAAGGGCGCGUAGGCGGUGGGGUACGUCAGCCGUGAAAUCCCCUGGCUCAACCUGGGAAUGGCGGGGGAAACUGGCUGACUGGAGUAUGGGAGAGGGUGAUGGAAUUCCAGGUGUAGCGGUGAAAUGCGUAGAGACCUGGAGGAACACCAGUGGCGAAGGCGGUCCACUGGAACAAUACUGACGCUGAGGCGCGAAAGCGUGGGGAGCAAACAGG